rnacentral:snRNA from 1 species
AUAUUUAACCUGGCAUGAUCAAGGUGGCUUUCCCAGGGUGAAGCUUCUCUAUUGCACUUGGGAUGCACUGACCUAUGUGAUUUCUCCAAAUGCAGGACUCAGCUGCAUAAUUUGAGGUAGUUGGGGACUGUUCACACCCUCCCCUG